AUAACAUGGAUGAAUCCACACAUCGAUCUUUGGCAAGUACAAAUCUCUACUUUCAUUCAUUUUAGGGUUUCAAAAUAGUAUUGAGUAAAAAAGUUGACAUAUUCCAGUCUGUGAUUAUCCAUCAACAUACAUUCCUUUAAUUUUAGUCUAAAUAAUUCCUAAUUUCUGCUUUUCUAACUCAAAAAGUAGGUAUAAUUUCCUAUGAAUGAGGUGUAUUGGGAAUAAAUUCCAAAAAUAAGUGUAAAACUAAAGUUAAUAAGUUAGUGUUACGUAGUGUUGAAAACAUGAAGAAACGUGACA